UAGCUAGUUGGUGAGGUAAAGGCUUACCAAGGCGACGAUCUGUAGCGGGUCUGAGAGGAUGAUCCGCCACACUGGAACUGAGACACGGUCCAGACUCCUACGGGAGGCAGCAGUGGGGAAUUUUGGACAAUGGGGGCAACCCUGAUCCAGCCAUGCCGCGUGAGUGAAGAAGGCCUUCGGGUUGUAAAGCUCUUUCGGCCGGGAAGAAAUCGCAUGGGCCAAUACCCUGUGUGGAUGACGGUACCGGAAUAAGAAGCACCGGCUAACUACGUGCCAGCAGCCGCGGUAAUACGUAGGGUGCGAGCGUUAAUCGGAAUUACUGGGCGUAAAGCGUGCGCAGGCGGUUUUGUAAGACAGGCGUGAAAUCCCCGGGCUUAACCUGGGAACUGCGUUUGUGACUGCAAGGCUAGAGUACGGCAGAGGGGGGUGGAAUUCCACGUGUAGCAGUGAAAUGCGUAGAGAUGUGGAGGAACACCAAUGGCGAAGGCAGCCCCCUGGGUCGAUACUGACGCUCAUGCACGAAAGCGUGGGUAGCAAACAGGAUUAGAUACCCUGGUAGUCCACGCCCUAAACUAUGUCAACUAGGUGUUGGGUGGGUAAAACCAUUUAGUACCGUAGCUAACGCGUGAAGUUGACCGCCUGGGGAGUACGGCCGCAAGGUUAAAACUCAAAGGAAUUGACGGGGACCCGCACAAGCGGUGGAUGAUGUGGAUUAAUUCGAUGCAACGCGAAAAACCUUACCUACCCUUGACAUGCCAGGAACUUGCCAGAGAUGGCUUGGUGCCCGAAAGGGAGCCUGGACACAGGUGCUGCAUGGCUGUCGUCAGCUCGUGUCGUGAGAUGUUGGGUUAAGUCCCGCAACGAGCGCAACCCUUGUCGUUAAUUGCCAUCAUUUAGUUGGGCACUUUAACGAGACUGCCGGUGACAAACCGGAGGAAGGUGGGGAUGACGUCAAGUCCUCAUGGCCCUUAUGGGUAGGGCUUCACACGUCAUACAAUGGUCGGUACAAAGGGUUGCCAAGCCGCGAGGCGGAGCCAAUCCCAGAAAGCCGAUCGUAGUCCGGAUUGCAGGCUGCAACUCGCCUGCAUGAAGUCGGAAUCGCUAGUAAUCGUGGAUCAGCAUGUCACGGUGAAUACGUUCCCGGGUCUUGUACACACCGCCCGUCACACCAUGGGAGCGGGUUCCGCCAGAGGUAGGUAGCCUAACCGCAAGGGGGGCGCUUACCACGGCGGGGUUCGUGACUGGGGUGAAGUCGUAACAAGGUAGCCGUAGGGGAACCUGCGGCUG
rnacentral:rRNA from 1 species